GUACCCGGAGGAAAGGACAUCAACCGAGACUCCGUUAGUAGUGGCGAGCGAACGCGGACCAGGCCAAUGCCGCAUCUCUUUUGAACUGGAACCUUCUGGAAAGGUCGGCCAUAGUGGGUGAUAGCCCCGUACAGGUAGGAAAGAGGCGCGGAUACGAGUAGGGCGGGACACGUGAAAUCCUGUCUGAACAUGGGGGGACCACCCUCCAAGCCUAAGUACUCCUCAACGACCGAUAGCGAACCAGUACCGUGAGGGAAAGGUGAAAAGCACCCCGAUGAGGGGAGUGAAAUAGACCUGAAACCGAAUGCCUACAAUCAGUCGGAGCCGCCUUGAGCGGUGACGGCGUACCUUUUGUAUAAUGGGUCAGCGAGUUACUUUGACGAGCAAGCCUAAGCCGUUAGGUGUAAGCGAAGCGAAAGCGAGUCUGAAUAGGGCGUAUAGUUCGUUUGAGUAGACCCGAAACCGGGUGAUCUAGCCAUGGGCAGGUUGAAGGUACGGUAACACGUACUGAAGGACCGAACCCACGCAUGUUGAAAAAUGCGGGGAUGACCUGUGGCUAGGGGUGAAAGGCCAAUCAAACCCGGAGAUAGCUGGUUCUCCGCGAAAACUAUUUAGGUAGUGCGUCACGUAUUACCGUCGGGGGUAGAGCACUGGAUGGGCUAGGGGGGCGCGAGCCUUACCAAACCUAACCAAACUCCGAAUACCGACGAGUACAGCGUGGCAGACAGACUAUGGGUGCUAAGGUCCAUAGUCGAGAGGGAAACAGCCCAGACCGCCAGCUAAGGUUCCUAACUUAUGGCUAAGUUGGAAAGGAUGUGGGAAGGCCAAGACAGCCAGGAGGUUGGCUUAGAAGCAGCCAUCCUUUAAAGAAAGCGUAACAGCUCACUGAUCUAGACAAGCCGGCCUGCGCCGAAGAUGUAACGGAGAUUAAGCCAUAGACCGAAGCUGCGGAUGUACACUUUUGUGUACGUGGUAGCAAAGCGUUCUGUAAGCCUGCGAAGGCUAACCGCGAGGUUAGUUGGAGGUAUCAGAAGUGAGAAUGCUGACAUGAGUAGCGAUAAAGAGUGUGAGAAACACUCUCGCCGAAAGCCCAAGGGUUCCUGCGCAAGGCUAAUCCGCGCAGGGUGAGUCGGCCCCUAAGUCGAGGGCGAAAGCCGUAGACGAUGGGAACACGGUUAAUAUUCCGUGACCUGAUGGAAGUGACGGAUGACGAUAGUUGUACAUGCUUAACGGAUUGUGUGUGCAGCGUAGUUGUCCCAGGAAAUAGCUCCAUCAUUAAGACCGUACCCGAAACCAACACAGGUGGGCAGGUAGAGCAUACCAAGGCGCUUGAGAGAACGAUGUUGAAGGAACUCGGCAAAUUGCCCCCGUAACUUCGGGAGAAGGGGGACCAUCAUAGAGGCAACUCAUUGGUGGUGGCACAGACCAGGGGGUGGCGACUGUUUAUUAAAAACACAGGGCUCUGCGAAGUAGUUAAUACGACGUAUAGGGUCUGACGCCUGCCCGGUGCUGGAAGGUUAAGAGGAGGUGUGAGAGCUCCGAAUUGAAGCCCCAGUAAACGGCGGCCGUAACUAUAACGGUCCUAAGGUAGCGAAAUUCCUUGUCGGGUAAG
rnacentral:rRNA from 1 species